UACGAAGGGGGCUAGCGUUGUUCGGAUUUACUGGGCGUAAAGCGCACGUAGGCGGAUCUUUAAGUCAGAGGUGAAAUCCCAAGGCUCAACCUUGGAACUGCCUUUGAUACUGGGGAUCUCGAGUUCGGGAGAGGUGAGUGGAACUGCGAGUGUAGAGGCGAAAUUCGUAGAUAUUCGCAAGAACACCAGUGGCGAAGGCGGCUCACUGGCCCGGUACUGACGCUGAGGCGCGAAAGCCAGGGGAGCAAACGGG
rnacentral:rRNA from 1 species